UACGAAGGGGGCUAGCGUUGCUCGGAAUCACUGGGCGUAAAGCGCACGUAGGCGGCUUUCUAAGUCAGGGGUGAAAUCCUGGAGCUCAACUCCAGAACUGCCUUUGAUACUGGAGAGCUUGAGUCCGGAAGAGGUGAGUGGAACUCCGAGUGUAGAGGUGAAAUUCGUAGAUAUCGGGAGGAACACCGGUGGCGAAGGCGGCGACCUGGGUAGAUACUGACGCUGAGGUGCGAAAGCGUGGGGAGCAAACAGG
rnacentral:rRNA from 1 species